AUGGCAGUUGACCGCGCCGACAAGGAGAAUCUGCCGCCUGCGUCGGCGGCCGCCGCCCGUCCUCAUGGCGUAGUAGCCGUCAGGACCUGCAAGCUGAAGCGGCUCGGGAGGGCGCGGAGGCGGGCGCCGCUCAGGGACAUCACCAACCUCAUCGUUGCCGAGUCCGCGGUCGCCGAGUGGCAGCAGGCCCUGCUCCAGCAGCCGCACGAGGAGUCGGCAGCGGCGCCGCCGGAGCUGGCCUUGAAGAACGGGUCUGCCGGCGGUGCGGUACUGAAGCCUGGCAGAUACUUGCUCCGGAAGGAGUUUAGAUAG
rnacentral:rRNA from 1 species